AGACCAUUCGCUUACAGAUGUACAAUAUUGAUUUUCAUCUAAUUCAAGACGUUUAGAGGAAAUACUUUAGCUGGUUUCUGACUUUCAGUACACAUUUGAGUGUGUAUCUAGCUAUACUUGGGAAAAUUUUAUACGUACGUCCUGAAGAUUCACGCAGUGGAUAUAGGGAGAUGCAUGGAUGAAAAGUUAAUCAACAUCAAUACUAGGAAACUGUAAAUAAUAUAUAAAGGUUAUUAUUUUCUUGGUUAGACCAUGAAAUGAACACGUUAGUAAUAGUUGAGUAUGUUACUAAUAGUCAGGGUUUUAUAAUAAACAGGUGCAGGCAUGGAUAUUUCCACGUGGUGAACAAUGAUUAUACUCACUGGGAAAUGUAUGCCAUCGGUGGAAGCGCUUCUCCGACGAUAUACAGCCAAGGCAAUAGGUUCUUGCUCCUAAUACCCGGUUUAAUAAAGAGGUUACAAAACAUGAAGAUGCACCCGAAAGCAAAUGGAGAAAUUGGAAUUGGAGAUCGGAAGGGGAUAUGUUGUUGAACGGAGCAUAUUUCCGGCAAUCCGGUGCUGGAGCUUCAUCGACUUAUGCAAGAGCUUCUAGUCUAAGUGCGAGGCCAUCAUCGCUUGUGGGUUCCAUCACGACGGCAGCAGGAACACUAAGUUGUCGGCGAGGUCGUCGCUGUUGAUUGAUCAGUAUAACAAUGCUAAUGAAAUCGUUAAGAGAAAAUAAUAGUAUACUAUUAUAAUAUCAAUGUUUAUGCAGUGGUUCGUAUGUUCGAAUGAAUGGUAAAAGACUUCUUUUUGUUUUAUGUUUUU